GUACACACCGCCCGUCUCACCAUGGGAGUUGGCUUUACCUGAAGGCGCUGCGCUAACCCGCAAGGGAGGAAGCUGACCACGGUGGGAUCAGCGACUAGGGUGAAGUCGUAACAAGGUAGCCGUAGGUGAACCUGCAGAAGGAUCA
rnacentral:rRNA from 1 species